rnacentral:misc_RNA from 1 species
UCCGAGUUGACCCCGGCAGUCUCCUAUGAGUCCCCACCAUCACGUGCUGGCAACAUAGAACGAGGGUUGCGCUCGUUGCGGGACUUAACCCAACAUCUCACGACACGAGCUGACGACAGCCAUGCAGCACCUGUCACCCGGUUCCCGAAGGCACCCUCGCAUCUCUGGUUCCCGCGACCGGGAUGUCAAGGGCUGGUAAGGUUCUGCGCGUUGCUUCGAAUUGAACCACAUGCUCCACCGCUUGUGCGGGCCCCCGUCAAUUCCUUUGAGUUUCAGCCUUGCGGCCGUACUCCCCAGGCGGGGCACUUCAUGCGUUAGCGCCGGCACCCAGGGGGUCGCUCCCCCAAGCACCUAGUGCCCAUCGUUUACGGCGUGGACUAC